rnacentral:rRNA from 1 species
UCCUGCCAGUAGUCAUAUGCUUGUCUCAAAGAUUAAGCCAUGCAUGUCUAAGUGCAAGCCACAUUAAGGUGAAACCGCGAAUGGCUCAUUAAAUCAGUUAUGGUUCCUUAGAUCGUACACACGUUACUUGGAUAACUGUGGUAAUUCUAGAGCUAAUACAUGCAAACUGAGUCCUGACCAGAAAUGGGAGGGACGCUUUUAUUAGAUCAAAACCAAUCGGUCGGCUUGCCCGGUCCGUUUGCUUUGGUGACUCUGAAUAACUUUGGGCUGAUCGCACGGUCUCUGUACCGGCGACGCAUCUUUCAAAUGUCUGCCUUAUCAACUGUCGAUGGUAGGUUCUGCGCCUACCAUGGUUGUAACGGGUAACGGGGAAUCAGGGUUCGAUUCCGGAGAGGGAGCCUGAGAAACGGCUACCACAUCCAAGGAAGGCAGCAGGCGCGCAAAUUACCCACUCCCGGCACGGGGAGGUAGUGACGAAAAAUAACGAUACGGGACUCAUCCGAGGCCCCGUAAUCGGAAUGAGUACACUUUAAAUCUUUUAACGAGUAUCUAUUGGAGGGCAAGUCUGGUGCCAGCAGCCGCGGUAAUUCCAGCUCCAAUAGCGUAUAUUAAAGUUGUUGCGGUUAAAAAGCUCGUAGUUGGACUUGUGUCCCACGCUGUC